rnacentral:misc_RNA from 1 species
GAUGAAGAACGUAGCGAAAUGCGAUAAGUAGUGUGAAUUGCAGAAUUCAGUGAAUCAUCGAAUCUUUGAACGCACAUUGCACCUCUCGGUAUUCCGGGAGGUAUGCCUGUUCGAGCGUCAUUUGUACCCUCAAGCUCUGCUUGGUGUUGGGUGUUUGUUCCGCCUCUGUGUGUGAACUCGCCUCAAAACAAUUGGCAGCCGGCGUACUUGUUUCGGAGCGCAGCACAUUUUGCGAUCCAGAUCAACGUACAGCGGCAUCCAAGAAGCCUUAUUUAACGCUCUUGACCUCGGAACAGGUAGGGAUACCCGCUGAACUUAAGCAUACCAAUAAGCGGAGGA